GACGAACGCUGGCGGCGUGCCUAAUACAUGCAAGUCGAACGAACUCUGGUAUUGAUUGGUGCUUGCAUCAUGAUUUACAUUUGAGUGAGUGGCGAACUGGUGAGUAACACGUGGGAAACCUGCCCAGAAGCGGGGGAUAACACCUGGAAACAGAUGCUAAUACCGCAUAACAACUUGGACCGCAUGGUCCGAGCUUGAAAGAUGGCUUCGGCUAUCACUUUUGGAUGGUCCCGCGGCGUAUUAGCUAGAUGGUGGGGUAACGGCUCACCAUGGCAAUGAUACGUAGCCGACCUGAGAGGGUAAUCGGCCACAUUGGGACUGAGACACGGCCCAAACUCCUACGGGAGGCAGCAGUAGGGAAUCUUCCACAAUGGACGAAAGUCUGAUGGAGCAACGCCGCGUGAGUGAAGAAGGGUUUCGGCUCGUAAAACUCUGUUGUUAAAGAAGAACAUAUCUGAGAGUAACUGUUCAGGUAUUGACGGUAUUUAACCAGAAAGCCACGGCUAACUACGUGCCAGCAGCCGCGGUAAUACGUAGGUGGCAAGCGUUGUCCGGAUUUAUUGGGCGUAAAGCGAGCGCAGGCGGUUUUUUAAGUCUGAUGUGAAAGCCUUCGGCUCAACCGAAGAAGUGCAUCGGAAACUGGGAAACUUGAGUGCAGAAGAGGACAGUGGAACUCCAUGUGUAGCGGUGAAAUGCGUAGAUAUAUGGAAGAACACCAGUGGCGAAGGCGGCUGUCUGGUCUGUAACUGACGCUGAGGCUCGAAAGUAUGGGUAGCAAACAGGAUUAGAUACCCUGGUAGUCCAUACCGUAAACGAUGAAUGCUAAGUGUUGGAGGGUUUCCGCCCUUCAGUGCUGCAGCUAACGCAUUAAGCAUUCCGCCUGGGGAGUACGGCCGCAAGGCUGAAACUCAAAGGAAUUGACGGGGGCCCGCACAAGCGGUGGAGCAUGUGGUUUAAUUCGAAGCUACGCGAAGAACCUUACCAGGUCUUGACAUACUAUGCAAAUCUAAGAGAUUAGACGUUCCCUUCGGGGACAUGGAUACAGGUGGUGCAUGGUUGUCGUCAGCUCGUGUCGUGAGAUGUUGGGUUAAGUCCCGCAACGAGCGCAACCCUUAUUAUCAGUUGCCAGCAUUAAGUUGGGCACUCUGGUGAGACUGCCGGUGACAAACCGGAGGAAGGUGGGGAUGACGUCAAAUCAUCAUGCCCCUUAUGACCUGGGCUACACACGUGCUACAAUGGAUGGUACAACGAGUUGCGAACUCGCGAGAGUAAGCUAAUCUCUUAAAGCCAUUCUCAGUUCGGAUUGUAGGCUGCAACUCGCCUACAUGAAGUCGGAAUCGCUAGUAAUCGCGGAUCAGCAUGCCGCGGUGAAUACGUUCCCGGGCCUUGUACACACCGCCCGUCGCACCAUGAGAGUUUGUAACACCCAAAGUCGGUGGGGUAACCUUUUAGGAACCAGCCGCCUAAGGUGGGACAGAUGAUUAGGGUG
rnacentral:rRNA from 1 species